CCCAGGCAGGAAAUUCCCUAAGACUUUUAACUCCAGUUAGCCACACAAAUCUGGAAGUGGAGCUGUCACUCAAGUGGAAAAAAAAACUCUGAGACAG